rnacentral:rRNA from 1 species
UACGUAGGGUGCAGGCGUUAAUCGGAAUUACUGGGCGUAAAGCGUGCGCAGGCGGCUUUGCAAGACAGAUGUGAAAUCCCCGGGCUUAACCUGGGAACUGCAUUUGUGACUGCAUGGCUGGAGUGCGGCAGAGGGGGAUGGAAUUCCGCGUGUAGCAGUGAAAUGCGUAGAUAUGCGGAGGACCCCCGAUGGCGAAGGCAAUCCCCUGGGCCUGCACUGACGCUCAUGCACGAAAGCGUGGGGAGCAAACAGG